rnacentral:rRNA from 1 species
CAGUCGCCGCGGUAAUACAGAGGGUGCAAGCGUUAAUCGGAAUUACUGGGCGUAAAGCGCGCGUAGGUGGUUUGUUAAGUUGGAUGUGAAAUCCCCGGGCUCAACCUGGGAACUGCAUCCAAAACUGGCAAGCUAGAGUAUGGUAGAGGGUGGUGGAAUUUCCUGUGUAGCGGUGAAAUGCGUAGAUAUAGGAAGGAACACCAGUGGCGAAGGCGACCACCUGGAAUGAUACUGACACUGAGGUGCGAAAGCGUGGGGAGCAAACAGGAUUAGAUACCCGCGUAGUCCCUGUCUCUUAUAU